rnacentral:lncRNA from 1 species
AUAAAAAUAUUUAAAAAAAUAAUAUUUAAAAUAAUACUAGUUGCUUGGCUAUUGAUUUGUGGAGAUGUAUACAAGAACUAUUUUAUUACUUUGCAGAACAUAUUGUUUCUAGACCCUUCCCAUUUCUGGGGUCCUAAAACUGUUUUGAAUGUGGUUUUGUUUUCACAAGUGCUAAAAUAAAGUGUAGGUGUUAGAAUUUCCUGGCAGUUGCAAUGGCUAAUUAUCUGUGCAUCUAGAAUGUGCUAACAGGUCAACCACAAUGACAAUUAGUAUGCAAAAUAUUUCCUUUAGUGUUCUUGCUGCUAUAAAAUCUCCAUAUUAAACAUCCCUGCUUCACUCCUUGAAGGACACAAUGACCAGGGCUUUCAACACACAAUACAGGGAUGUUACAUUACAAAGUUCAGAGAAACCAUUCACAGUCAUGUUGAGGUUCAUGGAGACAUUUAUGUAAACUGUAUAGUGACAGGUCCUUCCUAAGAUUGUGUUAUGUGCUUACCCUCCGCUGGCCUCCUUGUCCCCAUUCCAGUCUCUUCCAGCCCUUUGAACAGCAUUCAUGCUGGCUUUCAUUGUCUCCUCAAGCAUUGCAAUCUUCACCCUUCCUUAUGGAUUCUGCACCUCCUGCUCUGCCACCCAUUCAUUCAAUAAACCUUCUAAAAGUGCCUUAGACGUGCUCUGUGCUAUGUGGAACUCUAGUCCGGUCUCCAAGCAUCCAUGAUGUUCUAGUGCAGUCACCAAGCAUUCAUGAUGUUAAGCAGCAUUUUCUUCUUGCCUGCAUAGCAGAAAGAGUUUCCAGUGGGGCUGGAGAGAUGGCUUGGCAGUCAAGAGCACCUGCUAUACUUAGAGAAGACAAGCAGAUGACUACCAUUCUUACCUCUAGUUCCAGGGGAUCUGGUAUCCACUUCCAGCCUCUGCAGGCAUCAGAUACAUACACAGCGUACAAACAGACUAUAAUAUUUCAAAUGAGUAGGUUGAUGAAAGUGGUUCAUGGGUUUAUUAAAUGAAGAAACUUCCAUGAAUCUAGUAUUAUGAUUUCACCCAUUCAAUGCCUCUCACAAAAAAAGAAAACACAAAAGUAAAAGUACCUUUAUGAAGACUAGACACAGACACUGGACAAAUCAAAGGAGUACGGGAUUCUAACUGAAGGAGAUGUAGGUAAAUUAUGAGGAUUGUUUAGAAUUUUCCAAGGUAAACCAGAUGGCUUUACCAGUACUGGGCAUACACCAAGAUUUCUUAUCUUCUCUCUCUCUCUCUCUCUCUCUCUCUCUCUCUCUCUCUCAUAUUGAUGUUGUACAUAGAGCCUUCAGUAAAUAGGCAAGCUCAGUUUCAGCUGGCCUUAUGGAUUUUUUUGUUGUUGUUUACCUCAGUCUCUCAAAUAGCUGAGAUUACAGGCUUGUGCCACCAGGCUUUCAUAUUAUCUCUUUUAAUCCUUGGUACUGGGAAUGUUUUCCCAUUUAACAGAUAAGAGAAUUGUUCAGAGUUUAUUGUGUCCUGCAACCCACACUAAAAUGUAAUUUUAAAACACCUUUUGAGAUGCAGAUAGAACAGAAUUUUUAUGGAAGCACUUUUGAAAGGGGAUAAAAGGCAUGAAUUAAUGAGAGUACCAACAUGAGAAAGAAGGGGCUUGUGCUGAUGUAAUAGGUGAAAUAUAAUGAAUGGGAUGUUGGCAGAGUUGAGGGAAAGAGCAAGGAUGCCAUCAACACAUGCCAUAUUUCUCCAGCACUAGUGAGAAUGGGUCAUUUUAGCAUCACUAGGCCUGAGAAAUAGGUGAAAGAAAUGGCAAAAGUCAGCUACCUGAAUGAUACUGUCACAAACAGAUACAGACCAAGCACAGAGUAUGUGGUGGUUCUAGCCUCCCCUGCCCUGAGACUCCUGCCAACAUCCUGUUACGAUAAAUAUUUCUGCCAAAAGCUGCCUGAGCCCCACAGCCAUGUGUGUGCUUUACUCCAGCUGUCUGCCCGAGUUAGGCCCAAAUGAAUACACAGAAACUUGUAUUAGGUUCAAAGCUGCUUGGCCAAUGACUAGGAUUCUCAUUUGUUAGCUCAGUCUCAAUUACCAUACAUCUAUAUAUUUUAUGGGACUUAUCUUAUCGGACGCCUUAUUGGUGUCCCUCCUUGCUGGUGAAUCACAUCGUGCCACUGGAGCAGGAGCCAAGGGGA